rnacentral:rRNA from 1 species
CCGGCGACCGGCGGACGGGUGCGUAACGCGUAUGUAACCUACCUUUGACAGGGGGAUAACAUCGAGAAAUUGGUACUAAUACCCCAUAACAUCACUGGAGGCAUCUUCGGUGGUUGAAAACUCAGGUGGUCAGAGAUGGACAUGCGUUGUAUUAGCUAGUUGGUGAGGUAACGGCUCACCAAGGCGACGAUACAUAGGGGGACUGAGAGGUCAACCCCCCACAUUGGUACUGAGACACGGACCAAACUCCUACGGAAGGCAGCAG